UUAAGUUCAGCGGGUAGUCCUACCUGAUUUGAGGUCAAAUAUGUUCAAAAAAUGGUUGUCCAAAACAGGACGACUAUAGGCACAGCACACACGUUGCACUUUCAUGUCACGAUGAUCGUUAUCACACCGAUGAACACUGGUCACACAACAGGCUUCGCCAAUACGUUUCAGAGGAGCCGAACACACAAAUGUGUGUCCAG
rnacentral:misc_RNA from 1 species